rnacentral:rRNA from 1 species
AUUGAACGCUGGCGGCAUGCCUUACACAUGCAAGUCGAACGGCAGCACGGGAGCAAUCCUGGUGGCGAGUGGCGAACGGGUGAGUAAUGUAUCGGAACGUGCCCAGUCGUGGGGGAUAACGCAGCGAAAGCUGUGCUAAUACCGCAUACGAUCUAUGGAUGAAAGCGGGGGAUCGCAAGACCUCGCGCGAUUGGAGCGGCCGAUAUCAGAUUAGGUAGUUGGUGAGGUAAAGUCUCACCAAGCCGACGAUCCGUAGCUGGUCUGAGAGGACGACCAGCCACACUGGAAAUGAUACACGGUCCAGACUCCGACGGGAGGCGGCAGUGGGGAAUUUUGGACAAUGGGCGCAAGCCUGAUCCAGCAAUGCCGCGUGCAGGUUGAAGGCCUUCGGGUUGUAAACUGCUUUUGUACGGAACGAAAGGGCUCUGGUUAAUACCUGGGGCAUAUGACGGUACCGUAAGAAUAAGCACCGGCUAACUACGUGCCAGCCGCCGCAGUAACAC